AGUGAAGCGGCAACAGCUCAAAUUUGAAAUCUGGCCCUCGUGGUCCGAGUUGUAAUUUGUAGAGGAUGCUUUUGGUGCGGUGCCUUCCGAGUUCCCUGGAACGGGACGCCAUAGAGGGUGAGAGCCCCGUCUGGUUGGACACCAAUCCUCUGUAAAGCUCCUUCGACGAGUCGAGUAGUUUGGGAAUGCUGCUCUAAAUGGGAGGUAUAUGUCUUCUAAAGCUAAAUACUGGCCAGAGACCGAUAGCGCACAAGUAGAGUGAUCGAAAGAUGAAAAGCACUUUGAAAAGAGGGUUAAAUAGUACGUGAAAUUGUUGAAAGGGAAGCGUUUGUGACCAGACUUGGGCUUGGUUAAUCAUCCGGCGUUCUCGCCGGUGCACUUUGCCAGCCCAGGCCAGCAUCAGUUUGCUGCGGGGGAUAAAGGUUUCGGGAACGUAGCUCCUCGGAGUGUUAUAGCCCGUUGCGUAAUACCCUGUGGUGGACUGAGGUUCGCGCAUCUGCAAGGAUGCUGGCGUAAUGGUCAUCAACGACCCGUCUUGAAACACGGACCAAGGAGUCGUCUUCGUAUGCGAGUGUUCGGGUGUCAAACCCCUACGCGUAAUGAAAGUGAACGGAGGUGGGAGCCUCGGCGCACCAUCGACCGAUCCUGAUGUUUUCGGAUGGAUUUGAGUAAGAGCAUACGGGGCCGGACCCGAAAGAAGGUGAACUAUGCCUGUAUAGGGUGAAGCCAGAGGAAACUCUGGUGGAGGCUCGCAGCGGUUCUGACGUGCAAAUCGAUCGUCAAAUAUGGGCAUGGGGGCGAAAGACUA
rnacentral:rRNA from 1 species